rnacentral:rRNA from 1 species
CCUACGGGUGACAGCAGUGAGGAAUAUUGGUCAAUGGUCGGGAGUCUGAACCAGCCAAGCCGCGUGCGGGAGGAAGGUACUAAGUAUCGUAAACCUCUUUUGUCCGGGCACAAACACUGGGACGCGUACCCGGCUGAGUGUAUCUUAAGAAAAAGCAUCGGCUAACUCCGUGCCAGCAGCCGCGGUAAUACGGAGGAUUCGAGCGUUCUCCGGAUUUAUUGGGUUUAAAGGGUGCGCAGGCGGUCUGUUAAGUUAGAGGUGAAAUCCCGGGGCUCAACACCGGCCUGCCGUUGAAACUGGCAGUCUCGAGUUGGAGAGAAGUAUGCGGAAUGCGCGGUGUAGCGGUGAAGUGCAUAGAUAUCGCGCAGAACUCCGAUUGCGAGGGCAGCAUGCCGGCUCCACACUGCCGCUGAGGCACGAAAGCGUGGGUAUCGAACAGGAUUAGAUACCCGUGUAGUC